UGGGGAAUCUUGCACAAUGGACGAAAGUCUGAUGCAGCGAUCCCGCGUGGAGGAUGAAGCCCUAUGGGGUGUAAACUCCUUUUCUGGUGGAAGAAGAAUGACGGUACACCAGGAAUAAGAGACGGCUAACUACGUGCCAGCAGCCGCGGUAAUACGUAGGUCUCAAGCGUUAUCCGGAUUUACUGGGCGUAAAGUGUCCGUAGCCUGAUAUAUAAGUCUGUUUUCAAAUACCUCGACUCAAUCGAGGAAAGGGGAUAGAUACUGUAUGUCUAGAAAUUGUUAGAGGUUAGUGGAAUUUCCGGUGGAGCGGUGAAAUGUGUUGAUAUCGGAAAGAAUGCCGAAAGCGAAAGCAGCUAACUAUGAUAAAUUUGACGGUGAUGGACGAAAGCUUGGGUAGCAAACGGG
rnacentral:rRNA from 1 species